GUCGAGCGGUAGCACAGAGAGCUUGCUCUCGGGUGACGAGCGGCGGACGGGUGAGUAAUGUCUGGGAAACUGCCUGAUGGAGGGGGAUAACUACUGGAAACGGUAGCUAAUACCGCAUAACGUCGCAAGACCAAAGAGGGGGACCUUCGGGCCUCUUGCCAUCAGAUGUGCCCAGAUGGGAUUAGCUAGUAGGUGGGGUAACGGCUCACCUAGGCGACGAUCCCUAGCUGGUCUGAGAGGAUGACCAGCCACACUGGAACUGAGACACGGUCCAGACUCCUACGGGAGGCAGCAGUGGGGAAUAUUGCACAAUGGGCGCAAGCCUGAUGCAGCCAUGCCGCGUGUAUGAAGAAGGCCUUCGGGUUGUAAAGUACUUUCAGCGGGGAGGAAGGUGGUGAGGUUAAUAACCUCAGCAAUUGACGUUACCCGCAGAAGAAGCACCGGCUAACUCCGUGCCAGCAGCCGCGGUAAUACGGAGGGUGCAAGCGUUAAUCGGAAUUACUGGGCGUAAAGCGCACGCAGGCGGUCUGUCAAGUCGGAUGUGAAAUCCCCGGGCUCAACCUGGGAACUGCAUUCGAAACUGGCAGGCUAGAGUCUUGUAGAGGGGGGUAGAAUUCCAGGUGUAGCGGUGAAAUGCGUAGAGAUCUGGAGGAAUACCGGUGGCGAAGGCGGCCCCCUGGACAAAGACUGACGCUCAGGUGCGAAAGCGUGGGGAGCAAACAGGAUUAGAUACCCUGGUAGUCCACGCCGUAAACGAUGUCGACUUGGAGGUUGUGCCCUUGAGGCGUGGCUUCCGGAGCUAACGCGUUAAGUCGACCGCCUGGGGAGUACGGCCGCAAGGUUAAAACUCAAAUGAAUUGACGGGGGCCCGCACAAGCGGUGGAGCAUGUGGUUUAAUUCGAUGCAACGCGAAGAACCUUACCUACUCUUGACAUCCAGAGAACUUUCCAGAGAUGGAUUGGUGCCUUCGGGAACUCUGAGACAGGUGCUGCAUGGCUGUCGUCAGCUCGUGUUGUGAAAUGUUGGGUUAAGUCCCGCAACGAGCGCAACCCUUAUCCUUUGUUGCCAGCGGUUAGGCCGGGAACUCAAAGGAGACUGCCAGUGAUAAACUGGAGGAAGGUGGGGAUGACGUCAAGUCAUCAUGGCCCUUACGAGUAGGGCUACACACGUGCUACAAUGGCGCAUACAAAGAGAAGCGACCUCGCGAGAGCAAGCGGACCUCAUAAAGUGCGUCGUAGUCCGGAUUGGAGUCUGCAACUCGACUCCAUGAAGUCGGAAUCGCUAGUAAUCGUAGAUCAGAAUGCUACGGUGAAUACGUUCCCGGGCCUUGUACACACCGCCCGUCACACCAUGGGAGUGGGUUGCAAAAGAAGUAGGUAGCUUAACCUUCGGGAGG
rnacentral:rRNA from 1 species